rnacentral:rRNA from 1 species
UACGGAGGGUGCAAGCGUUAUCCGGAUUCACUGGGUUUAAAGGGUGCGUAGGUGGGCAGGUAAGUCAGUGGUGAAAUCUCUGGGCUUAACCCAGAAACUGCCGUUGAUACUAUCUGUCUUGAAUAUAGUGGAGGUGAGCGGAAUAUGUCAUGUAGCGGUGAAAUGCUUAGAGAUGACAUAGAACACCCAUUGCGAAGGCAGCUCGCUACACUAUUAUUGACACUGAGGCACGAAAGCGUGGGGAUCAAACAGG